rnacentral:rRNA from 1 species
AGAGUUUGAUCAUGGCUCAGGACGAACGCUGGCGGCGUGCUUAACACAUGCAAGUGGAGCGACGAACCAGGGCUUGCCCUGGGGCAAAGCCGCGAACGGGUGAGUAACACGUGGGUAACCUGCCUCGAUGAUCGGGACAACCCGGGGAAACCCGGGCUAAUACCGAAUGUGCCCAAUCCACAUCAGUGGACUGUGUAAAGGAAGCUUCGGCCUCCGCUUCGAGAUGGGCCCGCGGCCCAUUAGCUUGUUGGUGGGGUAAAGGCCUACCAAGGCUCCGAUGGGUAGCUGGUCUGAGAGGACGAUCAGCCACACUGGGACUGAGACACGGCCCAGACUCCUACGGGAGGCAGCAGUGGGGAAUCCUGCGCAACGCGCGAAAGCGUGACGCAGCAACGCCGCGUGGGGGAAGACGGCCUUAGGGUUGUAAACCCCUUUCAGGAGGGACGAAGGUCGGCGCGUUAAUAGCGUGUCCGACUGACGGUGCCUCCACAAGAAGCCCCGGCUAACUACGUGCCAGCAGCGGCGGUAAUUC